rnacentral:lncRNA from 1 species
AUGGGGGCUGUUACGGAGGAUGGGGGCUGUUACAGGAGGACGGGGGGAGGAGGGCUGUUACAGAGGACGGGGGCUGUUACAGGAGGACGGGGCUGUUACAGAGGAUGGGGGCUGUUACAGGAGGACGGGAGCUGUUACAGAGGACGGGGGCUGUUACAGGAGGACGGGGGCUGUUACAGGAGGACGGGGGCUGUUACAGGAGGGACGGGGGGCUGUUACAGGAGGACGGGGGGCUGUUACGGAGGAUGGGGGGCUGUUACGGAGGACGGGGGCUGUUACAGAGGAUGGGGGCUGUUACAGGAGGACGGGGGCUGUUACAGGGAGGAUGGGGGCUGUUACAGGAGGAUGGGGGCUGUUACGGAGGAUGGGGGGCUGUUACGGAGGACGGGGAGGGCUGUUACGGAGGAUGGGGGGCUGUUACAGGAGGACGGGGGCUGUUACGUAGGAUGGGGGCUGUUACAGGAGGACGGGGGCUGUUACAGAGGAUGGGGGCUGUUACAGAGGAUGGGGGCUGUUACAGGAGGACGGGGGCUGUUACAGAGGAUGGGGGCUGUUACAGGAGGACGGGGGCUGUUACGGAGGAUGGGGGGCUGUUACAGGAGGACGGGGGCUGUUACAGGGGAUGGGGGGCUGUUACAGAGGAUGGGGGCUGUUACAGGAGGAUGGGGGCUGUUACAGGAGGACGGGGGCUGUUACAGGGGAUGGGGGCUGUUACAGGAGGACGGGGGCUGUUACAGAGGAUGGGGGCUGUUACAGAGGAUGGGGGCUGUUACAGGAGGAUGGGGGCUGUUACAGAGGAUGGGGGCUGUUAAGGAUGGGGGCUGUUACAGAGGAUGGGGGCUGUUACAGGAGGACAGAGGAUGGGGCUGUUACAGGAGGACGGGGGCUGUUACGGAGGACGGGGGCUGUUACAGAGGAUGGGGGCUGUUACAGGAGGACGGGGGCUGUUACAGAGGAUGGGGGCUGUUACAGAGAUGGGCAAGGAUGGGGGCUGUUACAGGAGGACGGGGGCUGUUACAGAGGAUGGGGGCUGUUACAGGAGGAUGGGGGCUGUUACAGAGGAUGGGGGCUGUAUACAUUGACACAUUUUCUUUGUUGUUAAGUUUACUUUGUGUAUUUAUUUCUACAUUUGAAUGUCUUUUAUUAGUUUCUUUGUAUUUCUGA